AGCAGCCGCGGUAAUUCCAGCUCCAAUAGCGUAUAUUAAAGUUGUUGCAGUUAAAAAGCUCGUAGUUGAAUUUCGGGAUCAAUAUAACGGUCGUGCCGUUGGUAUGCACUGUUAUAAUUGAUUUCUCACCUUCUAAAGAACCGUAAUGCCAUUAAUUUGGUGUCACGGGGAAUUAGGACUGUUACCUUGAAAAAAUUAGAGUGUUUAAAGCAGGCUCACGCUUGAAUACAUUAGCAUGGAAUAAUGAAAUAGGACAUCCGAUUCUAUUUUGUUGGUUUCUAGGAUCGAUGUAAUGAUUAAUAGGGAUAGUUGGGGGCAUUAGUAUUCAAUUGUCAGAGGUGAAAUUCUUGGAUUUAUUGAAGACUAACUACUGCGAAAGCAUUUGCCAAGGAUGUUUUCAUUAAUCAAGAACGAAAGUUAGGGGAUCGAAGACGAUCAGAUACCGUCGUAGUCUUAACCAUAAACUAUGCCGACUAGGGAUCGGAUGAUGUUAAUUCUUUAAUGACUCA
rnacentral:rRNA from 1 species